UACGUAGGUGGCAAGCGUUUGUCCGGAAUUAUUGGGCGUAAAGCGCGCGCAGGCGGUUUCUUAAGUCUGAUGUGAAAGCCCCCGGCUCAACCGGGGAGGGUCAUUGGAAACUGGGAAACUUGAGUGCAGAAGAGAAGAGCGGAAUUCCACGUGUAGCGGUGAAAUGCGUAGAGAUGUGGAGGAACACCAGUGGCGAAGGCGGCUCUCUGGGCCUGUUCUGACGCUGAGGCGCGAAAGCUAGGGGAGCGAACAGG
rnacentral:rRNA from 1 species